rnacentral:rRNA from 1 species
GUUAAGUCGACCGCCUGGGGAGUACGGCCGCAAGGUUAAAACUCAAAUGAAUUGACGGGGGCCCGCACAAGCGGUGGAGCAUGUGGUUUAAUUCGAUGCAACGCGAAGAACCUUACCUGGUCUUGACAUCCACAGAACUUUCCAGAGAUGGAUUGGUGCCUUCGGGAACUGUGAGACAGGUGCUGCAUGGCUGUCGUCAGCUCGUGUUGUGAAAUGUUGGGUUAAGUCCCGCAACGAGCGCAACCCUUAUCCUUUGUUGCCAGCGGUCCGGCCGGGAACUCAAAGGAGACUGCCAGUGAUAAACUGGAGGAAGGUGGGGAUGACGUCAAGUCAUCAUGGCCCUUACGACCAGGGCUACACACGUGCUACAAUGGCGCAUACAAAGAGAAGCGACCUCGCGAGAGCAAGCGGACCUCAUAAAGUGCGUCGUAGUCCGGAUUGGAGUCUGCAACUCGACUCCAUGAAGUCGGAAUCGCUAGUAAUCGUGGAUCAGAAUGCCACGGUGAAUACGUUCCCGGGCCUUGUACACACCGCCCGUCACACCAUGGGAGUGGGUUGCAAAAGAAGUAGGUAGCUUAACCUUCGGGAGGGCGCUUACCACUUUGUGAUUCAUGACUGGGGUGAAGUCGUAACAAGGUAACCGUAGGGGAACCUGCGGUUGGAUCACCUCCUU